CUUCUCAGAAUGUCCUGACAGAGCUGUCUACACUCAAUGCCUCUACUUCCUCCUUCUCACGAUUCCUCAACCCUUCCCCCCCAGUAUUCCAUGGAAAAGGAUGUGGUAGUUCCUGCUGUUUUUCUGCUGCUACCUCGGAAUAACACAGACUGGGUAAUUUAUAAAGAAUAAAGGCUUGUCCCGGAGAGCUGUUUUGGUUAUAAAGUGAUCAUUGCCCAAACGUGAGGACUUGAAUUGGAUGCCCCAGAACCAAGAAGUGGCAUGCACUUGUAAUACCAGCACUGGGGGCCCUGGCCAGAUGGAUGGGAUCCCUGGACUCAGUGGCCUGCGAGCCCAGCCUAGUCCACGAGCUGCAGGACCGUGAGAGUCACUGUCUGAAAAAAACAAGGUGAAUGUUGUCUUCCUAGGCACUACACCCAAGUUGACCUCUGGCCUCCACAUGCAUGUGCAAACAUGUAGACAUGCAUAUGUAAUGUGACAAAGACUAAAAAAGAAUAAAGGCUCAUUCAGCUCCUAGUUCUUGGGGCAGGAAUGACAAGAGGGACAAUUCAGGAGACAGAGCUAAACAGGCUUUUAGUUUAAUUUUUAAAUAAAUUCUUUUUUAAAAAUUGAAAAGCUUUAAAACAGUAUUUCUAUUAACUUUGAAAAGAUUUAUGUUUUUUACAUGUAUGAGUGUCUUGCUUGCACGUAUGUACAUGUUCCAUGUGCAUGCUGGAGCCUACAAGAGGGCGUUGGAGCUCAUGAAACUGGAGUUACAGACUGUUGUGAGCCUCCAUGUAAACAUCUGAACUGAACCCAGGUCCUCUGGAAGAGCAGCCAGUACUCUUAACCACCGAUCUAUCCCUCCAGCCCCCACAUUUAUUUUCUAAUUUGUGUAUAUAUGAGUUCAGGUACCUACAGAGGCCAGAAGAGGAUGUCAGCUCCCCUGGAGUUGGAGUUACAGGCUGUUGCAACAACCACUCUCAAGAUAAGCCCAUUAAUCAUGAAUGAACUAACUCAAUGCUCAUGAAGACCUUGGCCCUCAGAACCUCAUUAUCCCUUAGAUCCCCCCCCCCCCAUCUCCUGUGUCAUUUCUUAAUACCUCAAAUUGGGACUGAAUCCCAACACGGUUUAAUGGAAAUGCAGAUUUUGGCCGGUGUUGAAAUUCCUUUAGCUAAACUCGCCUACAGCCAGCCGGCUCCAAGCUGCAGUUGGCUCUUGUCUUCAUGCCUUCCCAUCUGCCACGUGGACUCUUCUCCUCCAGUGUGUCGGCUCUCCUGGUCUCCUAGCCACUCUUUUUCUAUUCUUUCUUCUCCCUGUCUUCCUGGCAAGCCCUCAACGAUGCUCGGUUCUAUUUAGUUAUUAAACACAUUCCUUUUAUUUAUUUAUUUUUAAACUACGUGCAUGGCUGUGUUUUUCUGUGAACAUACGCCAUGUGUAUACAGGUGCUCCCAGAGGCCAGAAGAAGGUCAUCAAAUCUCCGGGAGCUGGAGUAACAGGCAGUUGUGAGCCACCUAAUGAAGAUACCUGGAAGUGAACUGAGGUCCUCUGCAAGAGCAGUUUAUGCUCUUAACCACAGAGCCCUCUCUCCAGCUCCGAGACUCAUUUCCUGCACCCAUCCUCUGUGGCCACUCACCUGGAGUUCUUCUCAUACUCUCUACCCAGGCAGCUCAUGGACCCAGGGCCUGGCACAACAUGGGCAUAAAUGAAUACGUGGAUGGAUGGCAUGAACACCACAGCAGAAAGAAAAAUCUUUUCCUCAUUGCUUUCCGGCCAAAUCUGGGGCAGAAUUCUUACCCCUGACCUCGAUCCAGAGCUCAGAACAUCAGGGUUUGGAGGUCUGGGAUCCUGGUGCCCCUAGCCCAAGGAGGAC
ensembl:lncRNA